rnacentral:tRNA from 1 species
GUUGCCCGUAGCUCAGUGGUUAGAGCGCCAGGAGCGCCUCGCCACCUCCUCGCCCGCCGCGCGCGGGCCGAUGCGUGAGGCUUAUCGUAACCCUGGAGGCCGCGGGUUCGAUUCCCGCCGGGCACC